rnacentral:rRNA from 1 species
GAUGAACGCUGGCGGCGUGCCUAAUACAUGCAAGUCGAGCGAACGGACGAGAAGCUUGCUUCGCUGAUGUUAGCGGCGGACGGGGGAGUAACACGUGGAUAACCUACCUAUAAGACUGGGAUAACUUCGGGAAACCGGAGCUAAUACCGGAAAAUAUUUUGAAACGCAAGGUUCAAAAGUGAAAGAAGGUCUUGCGGUCACUUAUAGAUGGAUCCGCGCUGCAUUAGCUAGUUGGUAAGGUAACGGCUUACCAAGGCAACGAUGCAUAGCCGACCUGAGAGGGUGAUCGGCCACCCUGGAACUGAGACACGGUCCAGACUCCUACGGGAGGCAGCAGUAGGGAAUCUUCCGCAAUGGGCGAAAGCCUGACGGAGCAACGCCGCGUGAGUGAUGAAGGUCUUCGGAUCGUAAAACUCUGUUAUUAGGGAAGAACAUAUGUGUAAGUAACUGUGCACAUCUUGACGGUACCUAAUCAGAAAGCCACGGCUAACUACGUG